rnacentral:rRNA from 1 species
AUUGAACGCUGGCGGCAGGCCUAACACAUGCAGGUCGAGCGGUUGAGGUAGCUUGCUACCGAUGCAGCGGCGGACGGGUGAGUAAUACAUGGGAAUCUGCCUGGUAGUGGGGGACAACGUUUCGAAAGGAACGCCAAUACCGCAUACGCCCUACGGGGGAAAGGGGGGGAUCUUCGGACCUCUCGCUAUCAGAUGAGCCCAUGUCGGAUUAGCUAGUUGGUGAGGUAAAGGCUCACCAAGGCGACGAUCCGUAACUGGUCUGAGAGGAUGAUCAGUCACACUGGAACUGAGACACGGUCCAGACUCCUACGGGAGGCAGCAGUGGGGAAUAUUGGACAAUGGGCGCAAGCCUGAUCCAGCCAUGCCGCGUGUGUGAAGAAGGCCUUAGGGUUGUAAAGCACUUUCAGUGGGGAGAAAGGUCAUUCACCUAAUACGUGAGUGAAUUGAUGUUACCCACAGAAGAAGCACCGGCUAACUCCGUGCCAGCCGCCGCCGUAA